rnacentral:RNase_P_RNA from 1 species
UGGGUAAAACAGACAAUCGCGCGCAGCUUCGGGCUGUGUGAGGAAAGUCCGGGCUCCAUAGAGCGAGGAUGCCGGAUAACGUCCGGCGUAGGUAACUAUAGGGAAAGUGCAACAGAAACAUUCCGCCGAAACGGGUAAUGCCGUGGUAAGGUUGAAAUUGUGAGGUAAGAGCUCACAGGGAUGCAUGGUAACAUGGGUCUCGUGUAAACCCCAUCCGGAGCAAGACCAAGAUAGGGCGCUGAAGGCGGCGGCUCGUCGCUGCCCGGUAGGUAGGUCGCUAGAGCCUGGUGGCAACAUCAGGUCGAGAUAGAUGAUUGUCAAAUACAGAACCCGGCUUAUGUGUUGCCCACAAU